ACUCCUACGGGAGGCAGCAGUAGGGAAUCUUCCACAAUGGGCGCAAGCCUGAUGGAGCAACACCGCGUGAGUGAAGAAGGGUUUCGGCUCGUAAAGCUCUGUUGUUAAAGAAGAACACGUAUGAGAGUAACUGUUCAUACGUUGACGGUACUUAACCAGAAAGUCACGGCUAACUACGUGCCAGCAGCCGCGGUAAUACGUAGGUGGCAAGCGUUAUCCGGAUUUAUUGGGCGUAAAGAGAGUGCAGGCGGUUUUCUAAGUCUGAUGUGAAAGCCUUCGGCUUAACCGGAGAAGUGCAUCGGAAACUGGAUAACUUGAGUGCAGAAGAGGGUAGUGGAACUCCAUGUGUAGCGGUGGAAUGCGUAGAUAUAUGGAAGAACACCAGUGGCGAAGGCGGCUACCUGGUCUGCAACUGACGCUGAGACUCGAAAGCAUGGGUAGCGAACAGGAUUAGAUACCCUGGUAGGAUAGCG
rnacentral:rRNA from 1 species